GACGAACGCUGGCGGCGUGCUUAACACAUGCAAGUCGAACGGAAAGGCACUGCUUUUGUGGGGUGCUCGAGUGGCGAACGGGUGAGUAACACGUGAGUAACCUGCCCUUGACUUUGGGAUAACUUCAGGAAACUGGGGCUAAUACCGGAUAGGAGCUCCUGCUGCAUGGUGGGGGUUGGAAAGUUUCGGCGGUUGGGGCUGGACGCGCGGGUAAUCGGCUUGUUGGUGGGGUAGUGGCUUACCAAGGCUUUGACGGGUAGCCGGCCUGGGAGGGUGACCGGCCACAAUGGUACUGAGAUACGGACCAGACGCGAACGGGAGGCAGCAGUGGGGAAUAUUGCACAAUGGGCGGAAGCCUGAUGCAGCAACGUCGCGGGCGGGAUGACGGCCUUCGGGUUGUAAACCGCUUUCGCCUGUGACGAAGCGUGAGUGACGGUAAUGGGUAAAGAAGCACCGGCUAACUACGUG
rnacentral:rRNA from 1 species